rnacentral:tRNA from 1 species
ACCUGGCUGGCCCGGUCGGUAGAGCAUGCGACUCUGGAUCUCAGGGUCAUGGGUUCGAGCCCCACGCUGGGCA